GACGAACGCUGGCGGCGUGCUUAACACAUGCAAGUCGAACGAUGAAACCUAGCUUGCUAGGUCGAUUAGUGGCGAACGGGUGAGUAACACGUGACUAACCUGCCCCUUUCUCUGGGAUAACGCUUCGAAAGGAGUGCUAAUACCGGAUACUCACAUCGAGGCACACGCCUUGAUGUGGAAAGUUUUUCGGAAAGGGAUGGAGUCGCGGCCUAUCAGCUUGUUGGUGAGGUAACGGCUCACCAAGGCGACGACGGGUAGCCGGCCUGAGAGGGCGACCGGCCACACUGGGACUGAGACACGGCCCAGACUCCUACGGGAGGCAGCAGUGGGGAAUAUUGCACAAUGGGCGCAAGCCUGAUGCAGCGACGCCGCGUGAGGGAUGAAGGUCUUCGGAUUGUAAACCUCUUUCAGUAGGGACGAAGCGAAAGUGACGGUACCUAAAGAAGAAGCACCGGCUAACUACGUGCCAGCAGCCGCCGUAA
rnacentral:rRNA from 1 species